UACUUAGUUUGACUCACUGACUCACUCUGACUCUCUCUGACUCACUCUGACUCUCUCUCUGACUCACUCUGACUCACUCAGUCCAGCAGAGAGGAUGGCUGAGUUCUGGUCAUUCUUCAAACCUAGAGAUCCCCCCAAAGGUGAGCACUGCUGUGAUGUUUCUGUGGCUGAAUUACUGCUGCUGAAUAACAGAAGCUCCAUAUAGCACCAGAAAGUGGUCUUCUACUGUGAAGUUCUCAUUCGUUGAGGUGGGAAAUACACUGAACUCUCAUCUGGACUUACCCUGGAGAGGACAUCAGUGGAGGAGAGUGACGUUAUUCUGCUGUUCUGUCCUGUCGUUUCUCGAGCCGUAACUGACAUUGAUGAAGUGCUACAGAAACUUCAGCAUUUAUCAGACUCCAAGCCUGCUGUUCUAGUGGUUCUCCAUCAUGAUGUAGAGAAAACUCUCACUGUGGACUGUCUGUUCUAUGAGGAUACAGGACUACUGAGAUGUCAGAGGAACCAGGAAGCUACAGAGUGGAUAAAGCAAGACAAACAACAGUGGUUACCAGAUGAGAAAGAUAAACUGAUCCAGGACCCGAGAGCAGAGGUGAGGAGGCUGAGGGGAGAGACUGAAGAGAGAAACACGCUAUGAAAUACAGAAAAAUAACAUUCUGGAAAGGAUGGAUGAAGCACUGAUGAAUGAAGGUCUCUGUAGGUUGGGGAUUGUCUCAGAUCUGAAGAUGGUGAGGAUGGAGGAUCCUGAGUUUGGGAAAAGCAAAGCUGGAAACCCCAUCCAGGUCAGAGAGGAGGAGAACCAGCCUGGAGCAUCUACAGCACCACAGCAGACAGAGAGAGAACAGAAGGGGGUUGAUGGAGAAACUGGGACUGACGCCUACGACUGGACUACAGUCCAACAUGUGCACAACAGGUUUAAACACAGAGAUCAACAACCUAAAGAAAACAUUCCUGAAUCUGAGAGAAAACAAGAUCUGGAAGAAAGUAAGAGGCUCUACCAGGAGCAGAUGGAGGAGAUCAGGAGGGUUUAUGGAACAGAGACAGAUCAGAUUAUGAUCAUCCUCCCAGAACUAGAACAGGUCAUUUGGGUUCCAAAGUCAAAAAUACAGAAAAUGCUGAGAAGAAAAGACCUGAAGGUAAAUGAGAACCAAAAUGUAAAGACCGAUUCAAGUCCUGAGGAACGACCAGAGGGUCAGGAAGAUAGAAAUGUCUGAUUUAGUUUGAGCGCGACAAACUCCUUGCAGAUAAGUUCUUCUUCCAGAUACUGAUCUUAAAGAGAGCCUAUUAUGCUUCUCCAUUGUUCUCUUUUCUUCAGUGUGUUGUAUCUUGUUGUUUAUGUAAAUGUUCUGCAGAGUCCCAAAUGUCAUUGUUCCCUCCAGAGGGAGAAACUCUCUCCCACAGAACCCACUUUUCUCAGCAGCCUGAAACGCCUCGUUGGAAUUCCAGCCCUUUUCCUUUGUUACAGGAUGACAUCAUCUCGUAACACAGUCCUUACUGCCCGCCUAUUGAUACGGCAGCACCGGCACUGCUGGAGAAACAGCCACAGCGGAGUUACAGCUGCUCAGGAGAGAAGAGUCUGUCUGCAGACUGCAGGACAGGGCCGGAACCUGGAGGGGUGGGCUGUGGGCGAGCUGACCAAUCAGAGUACACUGAGCUCAUCAGUAGGCGAGGCUUAAAGACAGGAGUUUUAACAGAGCUUUUCAGACAGAGGGCGAAUAGAGAUGAACAGUAUGAGGAAAAUGUGUUUUUGGAACACUGAAGGAUGUAAAUCUGUUCUAGUAUAACAAAAAUAAAAUUAUCAACACUAAAAUGAGCAUAAUAGGCCCCUUUAAUUAGGCUUUGUGUUUCAGUGUUACGAAUUUUACUAUUCUGAAAAGUUAUUACUGAUAUCUGGUGAACUGCAACGUGAAAGUGUGUCCAAUGAACAUUCGUUUAACUUUCCUCCUGAGUAAACGUAAACAUGGUGCAUCUGCCAGCAUCUUUAACUUGAUCACAGAAAAUAGUGAAAUUUAGCUCUCACGUCUCACACGAUUACAGUGGUGGUGCUACUUAAAGUUCUGUAACUCAGCGGUUCUCAAACUCGUCCUUGGGGUUCCCAGGCGCUCCACGUUUUUGCUCUGUCCCUAUGCAGUGUGAGAGGGGCUGCAGUAAAAAUGUGGAUGUGGUGGACCCUGAGAACCGGACUGAGGAACGCUGCUCUAAGUGAUGGUUGUCCAUGAAAUAAAGGAAAUAAAUGUAAAUUAAAUUAA